GAACAUUUUUCAUGUUUGUUGGUUGCUUGUAUUCCCAGCUACUCAGGAGGUUGAGGUGGGAGGAUUGCUUAAACUUGGGAGGUGGAGGUUGCGGUGGGUGACAGAAUGAGUCCUUGUCUCAAAAAAAAAAAAAACAAAAACAAAAAACAAAAAGAAAAAAAAAUGAAAAAGCUUAAUUUAACAGUUUUUCUUGCAUGUGAAUGACCUCUGAGCUUUUAAAUGGAAAGUUGACACUGAGUUUUGGUGAAUGGCAGGGGUUUUUGGUUUGUAAUACAAGUGCUUUUUUUCUUAU
rnacentral:lncRNA from 1 species